UACGUAGGGUGCGAGCGUUAAUCGGAAUUACUGGGCGUAAAGUGUGCGCAGGCGGCUGGUCAAGUCCGAUGUGAAAGCUCCCGGCUUAACUGGGAAAUUGCAUCGGAAACUGAUCGGGCUUGAAGGUGGGAGAGGGUAGUGGAAUUCCCGGUGUAGUGGUGAAAUGCGUAGAUAUCGGAGGAGACCAGUCGGCGGAGGCGAAGCGGCCUG
rnacentral:rRNA from 1 species